rnacentral:lncRNA from 1 species
CACUGUCGAGGUAAAUAAUGAGUUCUUUUUUAUUUAAUUAAUUUGCUCAUCCAGCGUAGUUCUUUUUAUAUUUAAUUAUAGACUUAAGUUUCAAUACAGAACCAGAGACAUAAAAUUUAUUGUUAUUACUUUGUUCUUAUCUUUGACGAUGGUGUAUUCGCUUACUAUCUGAUCUAACAUAUCUUAUUUGAUUUUAGUAGAUUCAUAAUGGAUAAGAGUUGGAUGAGUAAACCAAGAUCAACAAAAGAAUAUGAAAAUGGAUUGAAUCAAUUUCUUGAUAUGGCUUUUGCUAAAGUAAGUCUUAGUGGAAAAAUUAUUUGUCCGUGCAAACGGUGUAGGAAUGGGAAAUGAGUAAUUAGAGACAUUGCCGAAGAACAUUUGUUAGUUGAUGGCUUUAUGAAAGGUUACACAAAUUGGGUCGCACAUGGUGAAGACACAUUGACUGAUCAUGUGGAUUCCCAAAAUUUUAAAGAAUUCAAUAUGUUAGGGGAUAUGACUGGGUUAGUACAUGAUGCG